rnacentral:rRNA from 1 species
GACGAACGCUGGCGGCGUGCUUAACACAUGCAAGUCGAACGGAAAGGCCCUGCUUUUGUGGGGUGCUCGAGUGGCGAACGGGUGAGUAACACGUGAGUAACCUGCCCUUGACUUUGGGAUAACUUCAGGAAACUGGGGCUAAUACCGGAUAGGAGCUCCUGCUGCAUGGUGGGGGUUGGAAAGUUUCGGCGGUUGGGGAUGGACUCGCGGCUUAUCAGCUUGUUGGUGGGGUAGUGGCUUACCAAGGCUUUGAUGGGUAGCCGGCCUGAGAGGGUGACCGGCCACAUUGGGCCUGAGAUACGGCCCAGACUCCUACGGGAGGCAGCAGUGGGGAAUAUUGCACAAUGGGCGGAAGCCUGAUGCAGCAACGCCGCGUGCGGGAUGACGGCCUUCGGGUUGUAAACCGCUUUCGCCUGUGACGAAGCGUGAGUGACGGUAAUGGGUAAAGAAGCACCGGCUAACUACGUG